GGAAAAAAAAAACACAAAGCAACUAAGAAUACUCCCUCCGUCCUAAAACAAAUUCUAGAAAAACUACAACUAUUCAACCCCUGACAAUCUACUCCCUGACAACCAAAAACAUUCUCCCGCAAUCUGUGUCCAAAUACCACGACUAAUAUAUCAAAUUACACUCCUCACGUCGAGAAGAAAAGCAAAGCAAAGCAGAAAUUACUUUAAGGUUUGCG
rnacentral:lncRNA from 1 species